rnacentral:rRNA from 1 species
AAUUUUGGACAAUGGGGGCAACCCUGAUCCAGCCAUCCCGCGUGUGCGAUGAAUGCCUUCGGGUUGUAAAGCACCUUUGGCAGGGAAGAAAAGGCCCAGGCUAAUACCCUGUGCUCCUGACGGUACCUGCAGAAUAAGCACCGCCUAACUCCGUGCCAUCAGCCGCGGUAAUACGUAGGGUGCAAGCGUUAUCCGGAAUUACUGGGCGUAAAGCGUGCGUCGGCGGUUUGGCAAGAAAGGUGUGAAAUCCCAGAGCUUAACUUUGGAACUGCACUUUUAACUGCCAGGCUAGAGUAUGUCAGAGGGGGGUAGAAUUCCGCGUGUAGCAGUGAAAUGCGUAGAGAUGCGGAGGAAUACCGAUGGCGAAGGCAGCCCCCUGGGAUAAUACUGACGCUCAGGCACGAAAGCGUGGGGAGCAAAC